UACGGAAGGUGCGAGCGUUGUCCGGAAUCACUGGGCGUAAAGGGCGCGUAGGCGGUUCGUUAAGUUGCUGGUGAAAUCCCGGGGGCUCAACUCUGGGGCUGCCAGUAAGACUGGCGGGCUAGAGCACGGUAGAGGCGGAUGGAAUUCCCGGUGUAGCGGUGGAAUGCGUAGAUAUCGGGAAGAAUACCGGUGGCGAAGGCGUUCCGCUGGGCCGUUGCUGACGCUGAGGCGCGACAGCGUGGGGAGCAAACAGG
rnacentral:rRNA from 1 species